CUGGCCCUGAAUCAAGGCUGGAAGCUCCCUGAUGCUGUUGGUUUCAAGCAGGAAUCUAAAGAGAUGUCUUUCUAUGGUCUGUUGGCCAUUUCAGACCUCCGGCAGUGAAAUGGUCAAUUCCUUAGAAAGAAACACCU